AUUUGAUAAUUUUUCUUAUCUAAACAUUAUUGUGCUGUUCAAUAGUGAAAUGAACUGAAACAAAAAAACACGAAUUAACUGUAUAUAUUAAUUGCAAAAUGUUACAUAACAAUUACAUAGUAUAUCUUAUGAGUAAAGAAAAUUAAUUUCUAGUAAAAAAAACAAUUGAGAAUUCACAAGUGUUAUGAUCAUGAUUAAGUUUUUAGUUAAUAGUCACUUGCUAAUCAUAACAGCUCUGUCAGUCCAGGUCCUAUUACAGAUUGCCAAACUUGGAAAUCUGUUUGAUUUUACAAGAUGGAUAAAUGAGCUUGGCAUGGAGUACUCAUAUAAAUUUUCCAAGGAGUGGGUUCCUAAUUUGAUCCUGGGUCCUCUUAUUGGAAAACAGGAGCAUUUUCUUCCAGCCAAUCUGGCCAAAUGUUCUCUGUAUAGAUUAAUUAAUAUUUUGUUCAUAGACUAUAUUGUAUAUUUGAGUUAGUGUUCAUGUAGAAUAUGGCUAUCUUGUUUUCUUUAACUAUUAUUAGUUUCCUCCUCAUUUUCUUUUUUUAUUAUGAAGAGAAAUGUAAGAAAAUAGGAUUUUAUUCUGUAUAACU
rnacentral:lncRNA from 1 species